rnacentral:rRNA from 1 species
UACGUAGGUGGCAAGCGUUGUCCGGAUUUAUUGGGCGUAAAGCGAGCGCAGGCGGAAAGAUAAGUCUGAUGUGAAAGCCCCCGGCUUAACCGAGGAAUUGCAUCGGAAACUGUGUUUCUUGAGUGCAGAAGAGGAGAGUGGAACUCCAUGUGUAGCGGUGGAAUGCGUAGAUAUGUGGAAGAACACCAGUGGCGAAGGCAGCCUCCUGGGACGCAACUGACGCUCAUACACGAAAGCGUGGGGAGCAAACAGG